UACGAAAGGGGCUAGCGUUGUUCGGAAUUACUGGGCGUAAAGCGCGCGUAGGCGGCCUAGCAAGUUGGGGUUGAAAGCCCAGGGCUCAACCCUGGAAUUGCCUCCAAAACUGCUAAGCUCGAGGCCGAGAGAGGAGUGUGGAAUUCCUAGUUUAGAGGUGAAAUUCGUAGAUAUUAGGAAGAACACCGGUGGCGAAGGCGACACUCUGGCUCGGUACUGAAGCUGAGGCGCGAAAGCGUGGGGAGCAAACAGG
rnacentral:rRNA from 1 species